GCCCAUAUGGCUCAGUGGUCGAGCAUCGGCCUAUGGACCUGGAGAUCAUGGUUCAAUUCCGGUCAGGGCA
rnacentral:tRNA from 1 species